GACGUAGGGCGCGAGCGUUGUCCGGAUUUAUUGGGCGUAAAGAGCUCGUAGGCGGUUUGUUGCGUCGGCUGUGAAAUCCCGAGGCUCAACCUCGGGUCUGCAGUCGAUACGAGCAAACUAGAGUGUUGCAGGGGAGACUGGAAUUCCUGGUGUAGCGGUGAAAUGCGCAGAUAUCUGGAGGAACACCGGUGGCGAAGGCGGCAUCCUGGACCGGCAUUGACGCUGAGGCGCGAAAGCUAGGGGAGCAAACGGG
rnacentral:rRNA from 1 species